UACGGGGGGAGCAAGCGUUGUUCGGAUUUAUUGGGCGUAAAGAGUUCGUAGGCGGUCCGUUAAGUCUGAUGUUAAAGAUCGGGGCUCAACCCUGGGAGUGCAUUGGAUACUGGCGGACUGGAGUGCGGUAGAGGCUAGUGGAAUUCCCAGUGUAGCGGUGAAAUGCGUAGAUAUUGGGAAGAACACCGGUGGCGAAGGCGGCCCCCUGGUUGGAUACUGACGCUGAGACGCGAAAGCGUGGGGAGCAAACAGG
rnacentral:rRNA from 1 species